UGAGGAAUAUUGGACAAUGGGCGCAAGCCUGAUCCAGCCAUGCCGCGUGGAUGAUGAAGGCCUUAGGGUUGUAAAAUCCUUUCGUGGGGGACGAUAAUGACGGUACCCCAAGAAGAAGCUCCGGCUAACUUCGUGCCAGCAGCCGCGGUAAUACGAAGGGGGCUAGCGUUGUUCGGAAUCACUGGGCGUAAAGCGCACGUAGGCGGAUUGUUUAGUCAGGGGUGAAAUCCCGGGGCUCAACCUCGGAACUGCCUUUGAUACUGGCAAUCUCGAGUCCGAUAGAGGUGGGUGGAAUUCCUAGUGUAGAGGUGAAAUUCGUAGAUAUUAGGAAGAACACCGGUGGCGAAGGCGGCCCACUGGAUCGGUACUGACGCUGAGGUGCGAAAGCGUGGGGAGCAAACAGGAUUAGAUACCCCCGUAGUCCCUGAGCGGGCUGGCAAGGCGCAU
rnacentral:rRNA from 1 species